UAAGGGGAAGCGCAUCACCGUCGUGGGGUCCGGCAAGUCAGCCUUUGAGAUCGCCGCCGAGUGCGCCGACGCCAAUGGCGCGGGGACGCCGUGCACGAUGCUGUGCCAGAACCCUCAUUGGCUGCUACCAUCGGGGGGAAGUUGAGCGAGCAUGGCAAAGCCAAAGAUAUCUUCCUUGGAGCUACCAUUUAAUUCAUAAGAUGUCAAGUAAUAGCUUGAAGUUUAGGUGAUAAAAAUGCUAAUAUGAUGAUCAGGUCAGGUAUAAUAUCACAGAAAAUGUAAAAAAAUAUCAUUGGAGUUGUUUUCAUUAUAGUAAUCAGAAUGCUUUGUCUUGCACCAUUAUUUGUUGAACAUCUUUAUUUGUAGGAUGUAGGCUGAGUUUCAGAAGAUGAGAGUUGAAAUGGCUGGAAUGAGAACAAAAAAAAUGGCAGCUUGGUCUUUACAAUUGCAGUUUCAAUUCCUUAUUUGAGUCUAACUCAGGUGUUUCAUAGACUUUCCGAAAUAUCUAUUUUUGAACCUUACUGAAGUUGGCCUCUUACUGAGGAAAAAAGUCUAUGAAUGGAUCAUCUGAAAAACAAGACGUUACAGUUCCUUAAAAUUAAAAGUGAAAUUGCUUGCCAAAUACAGUAACAGGUAACUCCAAUAUUUGUUGGAAUGAGAUAACGUAUGCCAGGUGAAUAUUUGUAGAGUUACCUGUUAGGGUUCUGUUUAGUCUGUUAUGUUUCCCUCUAUUUUUUUUAUUGCUUAGCUAGGGUAGAUAUUUUUAGUCUGUUAUGUUUUCCUUGAUUUUUAAUUUUUUUGCUUAGCUAGGUUAGAUAUUUGUUUCCAGGUGUUACAACAUGGCUUAGCACCUACUACAUCAACGUUUCUCUGCUCCAAUUCUUACCGUCCCACAUCUCAAAGAAUUUGUGUGGUAGUCCCUAUCAUGAAAAAAAGUAGAACAAUUUCUAGCUUUCAUAUGCAUUUGUUUAUGCUGUAAUGUUUAAGAAUGAAGCAUUGAUCAAGGCCCCACAAAGGUGAUGUAGUGAUAUCGUGAUGUUCUAUACGCUAAUUGGAUGCAGGUGACAUGUCUCUCCUUUUCAAUUUCUCUUAUCGCAGGUUUGAUCGGAUGGAAUUCACACACUUGGAUCGAAGGAUUUGUGAUAUCAUUAGUUGUCACAUUGAAUGGGUAUGAUCUACAAAUUUGAUCUGGGAAUGAAUGGCUAUGUACUGGUUAUGCCGAUAGGAUGAUAAAGGUUCAGUGUAUAGCCUGCAUUCCUGUCUUGCAAGUUUAAGUUGAAUUCAUGUAGUAGUUAUCACAACAUGUAUUGGCACUAUUAAUUUCUUAGAGUCUUGUCUUUACAGGUGUCUGCAAUUUCUGUUGUUUUAUGCAUCUAUUUGUAUGAUGCAAUAUGUUCCAGUUUUGGGAAUCUUGUUGGACUUAGUUGGACAACUAUUGUGAUGUUGAUGCACAAAUACCAUAAUUUACUAUUAUCCGAAUUGCUUUAGGCAAGGAAGAAGGUGGAUGGAGCGCCGAGGAACAUGAUAAGGAAGGGGUCGGAUGAGAGAGGAGAGAAGAGUAGGGUGAAGGACGAGAUGGAGGGAAAGAGGGACAAGGACAUGGUGAACGGAGUUUCUUGAGGCGGAGGGUGGGGGCUUCUCGGAGGAGGAGAUGUUGGACUUCUCCUUGUCCUAGCUUGUUGCUGCCUUUCUGGGUAGGGGCCAGUCUGUCCUCAUGAGGUUGUUGUGAAAUUCCUCACCGAGACUUCAGUGAUGCUGGGACAACUCAAGCAUGAAAUGUUAUGGUAGUUUGUUUGGGAAAUUGUAAAUUCUUAUGCAUGUGUGGUAGAGUACAUUGGAAAAUAAGGUCGGGCAGUGGGAGGAUUUGUCAACCAGUUUCAUACUCUUAUUAUAAUUGGGGGUUAGGUUAGCAUUUUGUACAGCAGCUCACGUCUAAAAGAAAAUUUUAAGGUGCUGGCUUGUUA